UGUAAGUAGAAGAGAUAAUUUAUUAAAGAUAAUACAGAAUAAUUAGCAACAGAAAACCUAACAAAUCAAAAAUGGGAGAAGAAAGAACAAGUCUGAGUCCUUAGCGGCAGGCACUCACGUCUGGCUUCGACGAAGAGCAGAAAGCUCUCUUCCAUUACCUAGAAUCAGAAAUCACAUAGGAAAUAGUAGACAGUUGAGGAAACAGCACAGUAAAGAGAUAGAGAAUACCUGCCUCUCAGAGAGCUGGAACUCACAUGAGAAUAGCUAAGACUGCUAGAAGCUCAACAACUAAGAUAGGCAGCUCCUGGACACUGUGCACCAGCAUUAACCAGCUGGCCCCCAGUGUCAUUACAUGAAAUACUGAAAAAAGCAGGACAGGUGAAAAAAGGCUACAGACAAGGGGAGUAAAGUGAAGCAGCUGGUGAUGGCACACCUUUCAAAUUAUUCUAGAGCCCUCUUGCCCUGACUGAUUGAGUUCAUGUAUUUCAGAAUUCCUGACAGCUGGGCUCUCAAAAAGCAGAACUGAAGAAGGAACCAGGGCAGAGGGACUCAUUUUGCCAUUGACAGGGACAACAGAAAAGACACAGACAUCAACUAAAGGGAUAAGCUUUACUGUCUAUAUCAAAAUGAUGCAAAAAAAAAAAAUAGAGCUAACAUAGUUGUUAAGAGUUAAGGUAAUCUAGUUAGGUUGUGGUUGGACUUGAUGAUCUUGAAGGGUCUUUUCAAACCUGAGCAGUACUGUAACUUUGAGUUUAGCUACCAAUCACUACUCUACUACUUUGACCACCAUCCAGAUCCGCAGCUGCUGGGGAGCCCUGGUUGCAGCGAGGAUCUGGAGAACCCGUCCCGGCAACUGGGAAGGCCUACGGCAGUGCGUCCACCCCGCAGUCGAGGUCUCCAUCGUCACUGCAAGCAGGUCCAGCUUUUGUGUCACUAAACAAACCAAUCUAUGAAACAGUCAGGCGGAACAUCUGGUUUCCUCUGUCUCCUGUUGGUUUUCUCCCAAAACCUGGCCAGGGUUCAAGGAGGAACCAAGGGAGAAGUGCUAUCUGUUUUGGUCCACUACUGGCCUCUUUGGUCCCUUGCAGCACGCUUAGCCUGGUAAAACACAUUAUAGUAAAAAUUCUAUCAUGAUAAAGAAAGAUAUUGUACUACCAUUACUGUAGCACAAUCAACAUUAUAACAUAGCUCGGCAGGUAAUCACUUAAAUAAAUGUAUUCCUCCUCAUAUAGCAAAAUAUCAGUUAACUACAUCUCAUAGGUACCAUUAAUACUAGAAACAUAGGAUAUACUGCAAGAUUGUAAUCUACAACCAUAGUCCCUGAAUCAACGUUGACCUAUAUCAGGCCUCAGCAUUUCAACCCCAAAGCCCUAAGAGCCAGUUUCACAGGAGGCUUUACAAACUAGUUCCCAGGGCAGACUAAAGUGUCACCCCAUAGGCACAGCGGACCACUGGUGGUAAUUUGUACACCUACCACCAAAGACAGUAGAUUUCACUACACCCAGGUCACUACGCAAGAUGGUUACCAAUUGCCACAUCACAAGUGAACUUGCCUGAUCACAAGCAAUGGACUAAGGUGGAAACCUGUUAGUGUGCGAUCACAAGUAAUCCCCACAACCAAGAAAACCAGCGUACGCUCAUUUGCUAAGUAACUUCAGUACUCUACAAAGAAGAAAAUCAAGCCCCACUAGAACAGUAAAGACAUGAACAAACAAAAACAAAAAACAACCGAUAGGAAAGUCGCAGUUAACUGAAGUCAGCAGAAAAGAAUUAAGAACAAAAUAUGCGGUUAGAAAGGGUUUCCAGGAGCAGGUAAAGAGAAAAACCUGGCUAGUUAUGCUCUCCAACGACCUGAAAAAGAAGAAAAAAGACAAAACUCAACAAAAUGGUCGCUUGUACAAAUCCAGAGGAGACCACCGA
rnacentral:lncRNA from 1 species